rnacentral:rRNA from 1 species
GACGAACGCUGGCGGCGUGCCUAAUACAUGCAAGUAGAACGCUGAAGGAGGAGCUUGCUUCUCUGGAUGAGUUGCGAACGGGUGAGUAACGCGUAGGUAACCUGCCUGGUAGCGGGGGAUAACUAUUGGAAACGAUAGCUAAUACCGCAUAACAGUAGAUAUCGCAUGAUAUCUACUUGAAAGGUGCAAUUGCAUCACUACCAGAUGGACCUGCGUUGUAUUAGCUAGUUGGUGAGGUAACGGCUCACCAAGGCGACGAUACAUAGCCGACCUGAGAGGGUGAUCGGCCACACUGGGACUGAGACACGGCCCAGACUCCUACGGGAGGCAGCAGUAGGGAAUCUUCGGCAAUGGACGGAAGUCUGACCGAGCAACGCCGCGUGAGUGAAGAAGGGUGUCGGAUCGGAAAGCUCUGUUGUAAGAGAAGAACGAGUGUGAGAGUGGAAAGUUCACACUGUGACGGUAUCUUACCAGAAAGGGACGGCUAACUACGUG